AGGGAACAAAAGACAAUAUGAAG
rnacentral:snRNA from 1 species